UCCUUUGUCUGCGUGGCUCUCAUUCCUUUCUUCUCAUCCGCGUGGCUCUCAUGCUUUUCUUCUCAUUCUUGGCCUGUUCUUGGUUUUGGGAGCACCGCUUCAAUUCCUCAUUCUUCUUCUUAGCUUUCUCUGGCCAGUGGCGGUCAGCAACUUUCUGCUCACAAUUUUGGCAGUCACCGAUUCCUAGCGGUCAGUGGGCGGUGGGGGACGAUUUUGCUAGCCAGAAAUUUCUGCUCACAAUAUUGGCACUCACCAAUUCUUAGCGUAUAUUCUCGAAAAGUUGAAACUUGUUGAAGAAAGGCAAAUGGAAGGAAGGGACUCACUUUGUUAUCUCUGAGCAGAAAAUCAUCCUAAGUGACCAAAGAAUUUCGCUGCCACGGCCACGACCGACGACGGUCUUGAAUCUAAAAGGGUAGUUUGCGCAAGUUUUAACAGUUUCAACGACCGUGACUUCAAAUUCGGACGGAGUAUGCAUAUUCCAUUCAUGUAUACUCGGACAAAUUUUUAAUUUCUUGUUACUUUGUCGGACAAAAUUUAUUUUCUUCAAGCAAUCCCUUCUUAGUUUCCGCAAUCAAGUUACAAACCAUCUGUAAAUAGAAAUCCUCUCUUUUGCUGGCUUAAUUGUAACGUUUUGUGUUGGUUUGGUGGUGUAACGUUUUGUGUUGAAUUUGAUCCCGCAAGCUUUUGGCUAACGGAUGCUCCGGUCCAUGAGUCUCCCUCAGGCUUUAAUUUUUGUCUGCAAAAGUGGGCUUGAUUGGGAAAAAUGGCUAAUUGAGGGAGGAUCGAGAUCGAUAUGAUAUGCGUCUUGUGUGUAUUCGCAUGUUCGGUUGGACUCAGGAUCUUCGAGUAUCAUGCACGGAUUAUGUCAUACAACACCAGUUAUUGACAAGAAGGCAGGAAAAAGUUACAUUCUUGACAUGGACAAAGAGUACGUUACAGUUUUGUCCCUCUGUAGGAUGUGUCUCUAUUCUAGUUUUGGAUUGUUGACAUGUAUUGCUGUUUGAUUCAGGAUUGGCUUUCCCUGUGUACUUGAAAAUAUUUUGCUACUAAUUAACACUGCUGUUGCUAUUAACCCAUUUUGUAGCUUACGAGGAAUCCAUAAUGCAAAUCCAUUUCUUUG